rnacentral:rRNA from 1 species
AAAGGGGGGAUUAUUAUUAUUGUGUCCCCUGAUCUUGUCAGAUCCCAGAAACUAAAUAGAGCAGUGCCUGGUCAGUACUAGAAUGGGAAACCUCCAAGGAAAACCUGGUUGCUUUUU